GGGGAGCAAACAGGUUUAGAUACCCUGGUUGUCCAACGCAGUAAACCGAUGAAUCCCGACACGUUAGUUGGGUUUACUCACUAGAUGGAGGGAGCAUAACGUUAUUAAGACAUUACUUCCUGGGGAGUAAGGUCGCAAGAUUAAAACUCAAAGGGAAUUGAACGGGGGAACUGCACAAUGCGGUGGAGCAAGGUGGUUUAAUUCGUAAGCAAUGGAGCAGAACGUUAUCCAGCCCUUGACAUCCCCGGUCUGCGGACUACCAGAGACCGGAGUUCUUCAGUUCGGCUGGACCGGAGACCAGGUGCUUCCAUGGACUGUCGUCAUGCUCGUGUCGUGAGAUGUUGGGUUAAGUCCCCGCAACGAGCGCAACCCCCGUCGUUAGUUGCUACCAUUUAGUUGGGCACUCUAGGGGGACUGCCCGGUGAUAAGCCCGGGAGGAAGGUGGGGAGGGCGGUCAAGUCCUCAUGGCCCUUACGGGCUGGGCUACACACGUGCUCCAAUGGCGGUGACAAUGGGAUGCUAGGGGGCGACCCUUGGCAAAUAUCAAAAAGCCGUAUCAGUUCGGAUUGGGCUCUGCAACUCGAGGCCCAUGAAGUUGGAAUCGCUAGUAAUCGGGGAUCAGCACGCCACGGUGAAUACGUUCCCGGGCCUUGUACACCCCGCCCGUCACACCAUGGGAGUUGGUUUUACCUGAAGACGGUGCGCUAACCGAAAGGGGGCAGCCGGCCACGGUAGGGUCAGCGA
rnacentral:rRNA from 1 species